AUAUAAAUACCAUCAUCCUUGUUCCCUCCUUCCCACUUCUGUUAAAUUGUUAGAAACCUAGACUCAUGGGUAAAGGAAUUAUUUGAUUCAGUGCUUUGUCAGAUCAAAAAUAGAAUCUAGCUAAGGAGCACAUGUCCUAUUUUGCAGGUGAUAUAUACUCGAAGGCAUGAAACUGGUAUUUAAUAAUACUCCAGUUAAUUACUAAAUCCCCAGAGUUGCAGAGGAGUUCUACAUUAUUUCAUUAGUCCAUUUAGAGCAUGUCAAUUGGAUGUAUAAGUUAUUUAGGGGUAAAAUCAACUUCCCUCUGAAGUCUGCUGCUGGUCAUGCUCUUUUAUAUGGUGGUCUGAUCUGGUCACACUCUUUCGACAGUCGAUGCAUAUUUUCUUUUGGGUAAUUUGCUUCACCUAAGCUUCAGUAGCACUGUGCAUGGCCCUUUGAGUUCAUAUCUUCUAUUGGCGUCUGAAAACUAUCAUUUUUGGUCAUCUGAUAUCACUCUAUUCAUGCUAUCAAUUUUUCUUUCUCACUAUAUGGUAGUCCUUGACCUGUUUGUGUCAUCGGAGAAGGGAAUUUUCCUUUUUUUCACUUUUAUCUUGUUUUCUUUUAAUAUAUUGGUUUUAGUUGUAUAUUAUAGAAGGAUUGGACAUGGAGAUCUAAGAUGGAAGCGUUUGUGUAUAUACUGUACCUCUGUAUAUCUUUCCAAGUUCCAUCUUGCUUUAUCAUACAUUUUAAAAGAAUAGUUGUUUUCUGAGUCAUUGAUGUACUUAUGUUGUGUUGUCACCGACCAUGAGUAUAUAACAGUUUGUUGGACAAAAGUAUUCUUGUGGUCUGUGCCAUGGUUGGGCACCAUAUUAAAUAUAAAAUGAUAACAUUGCAAACAUUUCUAUUUUGAAGGGCUAACAAGAAAGGAUUUCUUCCGGCAGCAUAACAAAGAACCCAUUGGGUGGAUGCAACACCCGAAUGCCUUUUUGACUAAAUCAUUUUAAUUAACUAAUUACAGUGGCGGAGCUAGAUGGGGAGGCAAAGGGAAAAUACAUCAAUUCUUGAGCGGUCCAAAAACUAUAAUUUGUUUUAUUAAGCACCCCCAAGAGUUCUUUAUUCACACAUUUUUUCAAGGUUGGGGGUUUAAUGUAAGUUUUCUGCUAUUAAAACUGCAACUUUCCAUCCUGAUUGUGUCCAUGAUUAAGUUUUGGGUGUGGGCAGGGCAGGAGAUCAAGCACUCCGUCCUCUGCCAGGUCGCCGCCGCUGCCCGGGACGUGGACGCGCACGUGGGUCCGUCAGUCGCUGGCAAACAAGGUCGAGUCCGUGCAGAGCACUGGUCUCCUCCCUAUCGUCGUCGUCCUCCCUGCUGCCAGCGACGCCCUCCUGUCUCCUCUGCACCAGUCUACUCCUUCAUAUUAUUUACAAAAGAAAAUGGUUUGGGGUGAAGAGUUGAAGGCUUGAAGCCAAAUGUUCCUAAUCAAGAAGAUGACCCGCACAACUCCCCUGAAACAAGGCCAACACUAUGUGCCAAGAUUGAAGAUCCCAAAUAUGUUUACUUUGGUCCAAUAUCGUAUAGCAGUGUAAUGCUUCAGGCACUUUUUAUCAUUCAUUUUUAUUAUUCAAAUCUCUAUAUGGUUGCCAUAGAUGCUACUAUUACAUGGAUUUAUUACUAUUUUUCAUGUGUUGUUGAAAAUAGAACUCACUCA